GGGGAUUACAGUCUUGGGGCCACUGCAGCUGCGGCCUUGGCUGGCCUUGCAGGAGUCUGUAGGAAGACACAGCUUUGCGCCAAAGUUGGGGAGAGAGCGCAAAGCCGAGGAAACUUAUGAGCCCACCAGCUUCAACAAGCCACAAGAGGGAGGAAGAGCAGCAGGUGUGGCAGCCUGGACAGCAGACUCUUCCUGUUCAGUGGAGAAUAGCUCUGAAAUCGAAGAAGUUUUCAGGCCUUCCACGCCAAAAGGCAGGACCAGAGAAGUUCUUCCAGAGCUUGCUCAACGCUGACAGACAGGACCCAAGCCCCAGAGGAAAGGUUUACUGCGAUAGCAGCAGCCCUUUGCCUCCACGGUGACUUUACCAGAAGAAACCGGGAGAUAACAUAGUGAAGUGACAUGAACAUCUAGGGCCAGUGUAGAGUACUUACCUUCCUCACUUAAGUGAACACAAGGCUGACCUUGACCCUGAGAUGGGUGAUGUGAUACCUACAGGUGCCAAGAUGCUAACAUAAAUGAGAGAAGCUCAUUGGGCAUAAGAACAUAAAAAAUAAAAACCAAUGAAAAUAAAGGACAAAACCCACACAAUCACCUCAAUAGACACAGUAAAGGCUUCUGACAAAAUCCACAUCCAGUCAUGAUAAAAAUCCUCAAAAACUUGUAAUAGGUUACUUUCUCAAUUCGACGAAAAUGUAUAGUCAACAAACUUAAUGGUGAAAGAUUGAAAUGCCUUUCUGCUAAAAUCAGAAACAAGGAAAGGCUGCCCGUUUUUUCCACUUGUAUUUAACAAUGUAUUGGAGGUUCUAGAUGGGAACAAGGCAAAAAAAGAAGUAAAUUAAAGGCACCUAUUUGGGAAAAGAGAAGUAAAACGGUUUUUCUUCACAGAUAACAUGAUCAUGUACAUAGAAAAUUCUAUGGAAUCUUCAUCCCAUCACACACACAAACAGCUAGAACUAAUAAAGGAAUUCAGUAAAGCCACGGGAUACAAGAUAAAUGUAAAGAAAAAACCAGUUGUAUUUCCUUACACUGGCAACAAAUAAUUUAUAAAACGGAAUUAGGAAAAUAAUUCCAUUCACUGUAUCAUCAAAAAGAAUAAAAUACUUAGAAAUAAAUUCAUCAAAAGGAGUGGAAGACUUGUACAUUGAAAAUUACAAAAUAUCGCUAAGAGAAAUUUAGGAAUAUCUAAGUAUAAUAAUAUGGAGAGAUAUUCAUGUUCAUGGACUUGUUAAGAUGGCAAUUCUCCCCAAAUAAUUUAGAGAUUUAUACAAUCCCUAUAAAAAUCCUAGCAGGAAUUUUGUAGAAAUUGUCAAAUCUAAAAUUAAUAUGGAAAUGUAAAGGUGUGAAAUAGAAGAAUUUGGAGAAUGAACACUUGGAAGACUUACACUACUUUCACUAUUCAAAUUCAAACCUAAACGGCAAAAGGCUAGAUACAGAUCAAUAGAAUAGAAUCAAGAGUCAGAAAAAACCCCUUCAUUAUAUAAAUUGAUUUUUGACAAAGCCUCAAGGCCAUGUGAUAAGCAAAAGGUAGUUUUUCAAUAAAUGUUUCUGCUACAACUGGAUAUCAAUAUGCAAAAGGAUGAAUUUGCACCCUUACCUCACACCAUAGAGAAAAAUGAACUGAAAAUGGAUCCCAGACAUAAAUUUUAAAAUUACAACUCUAAAACCUCUAGAAGAAAACACAGGAGAAAAUCUUUGUGGGGCUAGUCAAAGAGUUCUUAUUCUUAGAUAAGACAUUAAAAUGAUGAUCCACAA